rnacentral:rRNA from 1 species
AUUGUACGCUGGUGGCAGGCCUAACACAUGCAAGUCGAACGAGUGGCGGACGGGUGAGUAAUGUCGGGGAAACUGCCCGAUGGAGGGGGAUAAAUAGUGGAAACGGUAGCUAAUACCGCAUACCAUCGGAUUGGCCCAGAUGGGAUUAGCUAGUAGGUGGGGUAACGGCUCACCUAGGCGAAGAUCCCUAGCUGGUAUGAGAGGAUGAACAGCCACACUGGAACUGAGCCACGGUCCAGACUCCUACGGGAGGCAGCAGUGGGGAAUAUUGCACAAUGGGCGCAAGCCUGAUGCAGCCAUUCCGGGUGUAUGAAGAAGGCCUUCGGGUUGUAAAGUACUUUCAGCGAGGAGGCGUUACUCGCAGAAGAAGCACCGGCUAACUCCGUGCCAGCAGCCGCGGUAAUAC